CAUCUGAUAUACGGUAUUUUCUUAAAUUGUAUAAAGAGAAAUUAUUGUAAAUCAGAUGAGCUGUGCCUGGGAU
rnacentral:miRNA from 1 species